UCCUACGGGAGGCAGCAGUGGGGGAUAUUGCACAAUGGGGGGAACCCUGAUGCAGCGACGCCGCGUGGGUGAAGAAGCGCCCCGGCGCGUAAAGCCCUGUCAGCAGGGAAGAAGAAGGACGGUACCUGACCAAGAAGCCCCGGCUAACUACGUGCCAGCAGCCGCGGUAAUACGUAGGGGGCAGGCGUUAUCCGGAUUUACUGGGUGUAAAGGGGGCGCGGACGGCGAUGCAAGCCAGGAGUGAAAGCCCGGGGCCCAACCCCGGGACGGCCCUGGGAACUGCGGGGCUGGAGUGCAGGAGGGGG
rnacentral:rRNA from 1 species